rnacentral:rRNA from 1 species
GUCGAACGGUAACAGGUCUUCGGACGCUGACGAGUGGCGAACGGGUGAGUAAUACAUCGGAACGUGCCCAGUCGUGGGGGAUAACUACUCGAAAGAGUAGCUAAUACCGCAUACGAUCUGAGGAUGAAAGCGGGGGACCUUCGGGCCUCGCGCGAUUGGAGCGGCCGAUGGCAGAUUAGGUAGUUGGUGGGAUAAAAGCUUACCAAGCCGACGAUCUGUAGCUGGUCUGAGAGGACGACCAGCCACACUGGGACUGAGACACGGCCCAGACUCCUACGGGAGGCAGCAGUGGGGAAUUUUGGACAAUGGGCGAAAGCCUGAUCCAGCAAUGCCGCGUGCAGGAUGAAGGCCUUCGGGUUGUAAACUGCUUUUGUACGGAACGAAAAAGCUUCUCCUAAUACGAGAGGCCCAUGACGGUACCGUAAGAAUAAGCACCGGCUAACUACGUGCCAGCAGCCGCGGUAAUACGUAGGGUGCGAGCGUUAAUCGGAAUUACUGGGCGUAAAGCGUGCGCAGGCGGUUAUGUAAGACAGAUGUGAAAUCCCCGGGCUCAACCUGGGAACUGCAUUUGUGACUGCAUGGCUAGAGUACGGUAGAGGGGGAUGGAAUUCCGCGUGUAGCAGUGAAAUGCGUAGAUAUGCGGAGGAACACCGAUGGCGAAGGCAAUCCCCUGGACCUGUACUGACGCUCAUGCACGA